rnacentral:tRNA from 1 species
UCCCUGGUGGCUAAGAUGGUAAAGUGUUUGCCUGCAAUGCGGAGACCCAGGUUCGAUCCCUGGAUUGGGAA